GGAAGCCCGGAGAUGGCCACUGAGACAAGGGCCCAGGCCCUACGGGGCGCAGCAGUCGCGCAACCUUUGCAAUACACGCAAGUGUGACAGGGCUAUCCCGAGUGCCGUCCGCUGAGGAUGGCUUUUACCCAGUCUAGUAAGCUGGGAGAAUAAGGAGAGGGCAAGUCUGGUGUCAGCCGCCGCGGUAAUACCAGCUCCCCGAGUGGUGUGGAUGUUUAUUGGGCCUAAAGCAUCCGUAGCUGGCCAAGUUAGUCCCCUGUUAAACCCACCGAAUUAAUCGUUGGCUUGCGGGGGAUACUGCUCGGCUAGGGGACGGGAGAGGCAGACGGUAUUUUCGGGGUAGGGGUGAAAUCCUAUAAUCCCGGGAAGACCACCAGUGGCGAAGGCUGUCUGCUAGAACGCGCCCGACGGUGAGGGAUGAAAGCUGGGGGAGCGAACCGGAUUAGAUACCCGGGUAGUCCCAGCUGUAAACGAUGCAGGCUAGGUGUUUGGACGGCCACGUGCCGUCCUAGUGCCGCAGGGAAGCUGUUAAGCCUGCCGCCUGGG
rnacentral:rRNA from 1 species